GUAGGUGCAGUGUAUGAACUCUGAAAGGUCUGUGGCAAACAGAACCACAGCGAAGUGGUGGACUUGGUUCUGGAGAAAGUCCACCCAUUUUCAUUCCCACUAACAGUCUAUGAAGUGUUGCCAACACAGGCUCCAAAUUCCCAAACUUCGAGUGCAAACUAGAACACCUAACUUUUGGCUGGAGAUCUUCUGAGUGACAAAUAGCUUCCUCUCAUGCUACCAAGAGCUAUGGAAAAUGGCUUAUGAGUGAUUUUCCUGAUGAUCGUCCAUAUCAACAACACGGGACUGACUAAUUAGCUUAGAAGACCUAGCUGUUCCUGAAAUCACUGAGGAGAAUCACACGAAGCCUCAAAGUAAUCUCUGUCAGUAGAAGAAUACCUCCGUCCAAAGACGUUCAUGUCCUAAUCCUUGGAAAUUCUAAAUAUAACUUGUGUAGAUUACAUGGAAAGGGGGAAUUAGGUUGCAGAUGAAAUUAAGGUUGCUAAUUAGCUGACCUUAAAAUAAGGGCAUUAUCCCAGAGCAGAUGGGUGGACUCAGUGUAAUCACAAGAGUCCUUAAAGCUGGAAGAGUGACAAGAGGAGGAGCUCAGAGUGGUGUGAUGUUAGAAGAACGCAACUAGCUUUUGCUGGCUUGAAAGACAAAAGAAGGGGUUGACAAGCCAUGGAAUGCAAGCAGCUUCUAGAAGCCUGAAGAGGCAAGGAAAUGAACCCUUCCCAACGUCUAUAGAAAGAGCAGCCUUGGCUUUAGCCUGGUGAGACCCUUGUCAGACCUUCAGA